UCGAUGCGACUCCUUAAAUUCAAGGUUACACCGCUUGACUGAAAGAAAGCCCAAUUUCGUCCAGCUUUGUAAGACGUAGCCAACUGGCCAUCUGAGUGUUCCACUCCCACUGGUCGAAAGUGGGUGGCAGUGGAGCUGCUGGAGUUAGACGCACUAUUGUCCUCUGUAAAUCCUCAUUGUAACAAGCGCCCAGAAUCAUUGCCUCACGCACAAGUCGCCCUGACUCCAGACUUCGAAAAAGUGCAACGACAACAACAGCAGCAGCAGCACAACAGAAUGCCAAUGCAAAAAAGUUGCCAUAAAGAAACGACGACGACAACGACGUCCCCAUCUCCGCAUCACCAUCGCCCAAAAAUAAAUGCAACGCCUUCG
ensembl:ncRNA lncRNA:CR44588 long non-coding RNA:CR44588